GAUGAACGCUGGCGGCGUGCCUAACACAUGCAAGUCGAACGAGAUGCGUAUCGGAAAGCUUCGGCCGGAAGAUACGUUAUCUAGUGGCGGACGGGUGAGUAACACGUGGGUAACCUGCCUUAUGGAGGGGGAUAACAGAGAGAAAUCACUGCUAAUACCGCAUAAGCACACAGUACCGCAUGGUACAGGGUGAAAAGAUUUAUCACCAUAAGAUGGACCCGCGUCUGAUUAGCCAGUUGGCAGGGUAAAAGCCUACCAAAGCAACGAUCAGUAGCCGAUCUGAGAGGAUGACCGGCCACAUUGGGACUGAGACACGGCCCAAACUCCUACGGGAGGCAGCAGUGGGGAAUAUUGCACAAUGGGGGAAACCCUGAUGCAGCGACGCCGCGUGAGUGAAGAAGUAUUUCGGUAUGUAAAGCUCUAUCAGCAGGGAAGAUAAUGACAGUACCUGACUAAGAAGCCCCGGCUAACUACGUGCCAGCAGCCGCGGUAAUACGUAGGGGGCAAGCGUUAUCCGGAUUUACUGGGUGUAAAGGGAGCGUAGACGGAGUGGCAAGUCUGAAGUGAAAACCCUGGGCUUAACCUGGGGACUGCUUUGGAAACUGUUAAUCUAGAGUGUUGGAGAGGUAAGUGGAAUUCCUGGUGUAGCGGUGAAAUGCGUAGAUAUCAGGAAGAACACCGGAGGCGAAGGCGGCUUACUGGACAAUAACUGACGUUGAGGCUCGAAAGCGUGGGGAUCAAACAGG
rnacentral:rRNA from 1 species